rnacentral:rRNA from 1 species
AUGAAAAUAAAUGUGGCCCACGCGCUAGCGGCCCACGCGGCCCAACGAAAGCAAAAACUGAUCUAUCGGGCCUGUCUCAGCUGGGCCUCCAGUGUCUGGAAAGGGCAACGAUAUAUUCCCCAAUCCCCGGGAUCCCCAACUAAUUGGGGCGUGACAGCAUCCUCCCCCACUUCCCCGGGAAACCGAUUCUCCGGGAUUCUGCUGGAUUCUGCAGAGGUCCUUCCGUCGACGAAUCCAGCGGCGGCCGGUCAGCUUGUUUCGAAGGCUGACUUGGAAAGAUCAAUGACGAAAAACAAGCGACGGCUGAUGAGAGGCGAUGAAGAGCAACAACGCCCUUACAAAAGAGCAACUAGACCAAUGACCAGCUAUUCAGUCUACCCGUGCGACUCUCUCUCUAUUAAAGUACGCCUUCCAAAUGAUCAGAUUGUCACUGGGUGGAUUGAGGAUCCUGGGAUAUAUGUUGAUUUUUUCAUUGUCAACAUCAAGGAGGUGUCUAGAGUUGAUGCCACAAGUCUUGACCGUGACAUACAGUUUGAGCCUCAUACGAAGGCAGCAGCUGUAUGCCGCUGUUUCAGUUCUGGAUUUUUAACAGUCACAAGCGGACUAAAUCUUGCUUCCCCAACCAGUGAGACAAUCGUAAGCACGUGCUGGAUCCACAAGGCGGGAAUUGGAGGUCCCCUUGUUGACUUUGAUGGGAACUUUGUUGGGAUGAACUCCUCCCGUACCAAAAUGGAGAAGACUGCCUACGUGCGAAGGAAGCAAAUUCUUCGAUUCUUGGUGUUUCACGGGAUGGUCAGUGUUAAGGAAGGGGUUGAUGAUGCUACACAAGCAAGAAUCAACAGUGAGAUGAAAGCAAUUAGGCCAAGUUUGGACGCUACCUCCAUAGCGAGAUUGAGUGAAUCCAGAAAAGGUGCCUUGAGUGAGCAGCUAUUCAGUUUGCACGUAUACUCUCCCUCUGCAGGUGAUACCAAGUUACGCGAAUGCACUGGCAUAUGCAUUGAAAGCUCAUGUCCUGGUGUUACAAGUUUCCUCACAUCAAUAAAUUUGAUUCCACUUACUUGGCGUGCAAGCAAGAUCACUAAAAAUUUGAAGAUUAAAGUACGCCUUCUGAAUGAUGAGACUGUCACUGGGUGGAUAGCGGAUCCUGAGAUAUAUGUUGAUUUUUUCAUUGUCAACGUCGCUGGUGUUAAUGCCACACAUGUCAGUCUUGACCGGGACAUGCAGUUUGAGCCUUAUAGGAAGGUAGCAGCUGUAUGUCGCAAUUUCAAUUCAGGACUAUUAAUGGACACAAGCGGAGUAGAUCUUGCCUCUCCAAGUGCUCUACCUGAUCAGACAAUGUUCAGCACAUGCCAGAUCGACAAGGUGGGGAUUGGAGGCCCCCUUGUUGAUUUUGAUGGCAACUUCGUUGGGAUGAACUGCUCCUGUACCAAAGAAAGAAAGACCCCCUAUGUACGAAGGGCUGCAAUUCUUCGAUUCUUGGGGGUUAACGGGAUGGUCAGUGUUAAGGACGUGGUUGAUGAUGCUACAAGAGCAUUCCUCAAAACAAUGGCGGAGCACCAUGUUACAAUAUUCAAGGAGAAAACCAUAUCAUUAAUCGUCUCGAAGAUACAUUCGACGAGGAUAUCUUGCAUAAUCCAUGGAAAGGAUUUGCAAAUUUUUUUGCUUGCACAGAUUGAAGUUUGCCUUCCAAAUAAAUUUCGAGUUGUAGGGAUAUUGAAGGGUUACAAUUUACAUUAUAACGUUGCUCUUGUUGACAUUACUGGAUGCUGGGAUCCUCAUGCAAUACAAAUCAGUGGGCGUCCAGUUACCUCAUCUAUGGACGUAAUAGCUGUAGGUUGUCUUUUUGCGUAUCGCAAACUAAUGGCUGUCGAGGGUAAGGUGUUGAUUGGCAAACAAAGCAAGUUCGAUUGUACAGAACUUUGUGUGUCCACCUGUAAAAUCACCAAGGCUGGGAUCGGGGGCCCUCUUAUUGACACAGAUGGGAAUUUUGUUGGAAUGAACUUUUAUGAUGAGGAAGAAACUCCGUUCCUGCCGAGGGAUCUUAUUUGCCGCCUCUUGUUGAACGUAAAUAAGGAAUGGGCUAGUGCAGAUGAUACUAUUAUGGAGGGUGACAAAAACAGAUGGUUGUUGCCUGGCGGGACACACAGAAAUACUGAUGGAAACAGAUGGCCGUUGCCUAAGCCACGUCUUGUUGGUGUUAGAGAUGUCUGCCUGUAG